rnacentral:rRNA from 1 species
GCGGCCUCGGGAGGCGGCCUUAGGGCAUCUUGCGCAAUCGACGAAAGUUUUCGGCAAUGGCCCGCGAGUCUGAAACAGCUUUUCGGAUCGUAAAACUCAGUUUUUCAGAAGGAAAAGGAUUUACAGUAAGGGGAGAAAAAAAUGACGGUAUUAACACAAAAAAGUCACGGCUAAAUACGUGCCAGCAGCCGCGGUAAUACGUAAGGUGCCGAGCGUUGUUCCGGAUUUAUUUGGCGUAAAGCGCGUCCAGGCUGGUCUUUUAAGUCUGGUGGGAAAAACGCAGGGCUCACCGCGGUGUGUCAUUGGAAAACUGGAGAACUUGAGUGCAGAAGAGGAGAGUGGAAUUCCACGUGUAGCGGUGAAAUGCGUAGAUAUGUGGAGGAACACCAGUGGCGAAGGCAACUCUCUGGUCAGAUACUGACGCUGAGGCUCGAAAGCGUGGGUAGCAAACAGG